AUGACUGCUAAAAAUUCUAUUCGGCUUCCCUUUACUAAACCUCUAGUUGAAGGAUUACUUGAUUACAUCUACACGGAGCGUAUUUUGAAGUCACCAGCUGACGCAGAUGCUGCCGAUUUUUACAAAUGGUGCGUGAUUUUUGCUUUCAAGUUUUAUUAUACACACUGUUUUUCUUGUUGGUUUUGUUUUCUUUUGAUUCGCGAUUCCUUGCUGCACAAUUCAUUACAGGCAUUCAGGGGAAAAAUUUUCCAAAAAGUGUACAGAUGCUUAAUGUGAGAGUAAAAAUGAAUCGACCGCAAGAAGGAUAAGUUGUCAAAAUUAAGAUAAACCAGACCUGCUAACGCACAAAAGCAAGCUGUAUUUGUUGCAGAAAGUGACUAGACCUACUUUUAUCUGGUGUGUGUGAACUAUUGGUGACACAAUGUUAAGUGCUGUACCAGAGCCCAUUCAGAAAACAUUUUUGUAAUGGCUAUGUGUUCUGUUACAUCGUAUUUCCGACCAUUCAGCCAUUAGUUUGAUAUUUUCCAUGGAUUCGUACUUGAAUUUUCCUGUAAAAUUUGCUUUAUAUAUUUGUUCUCGUGAAUGACUGUGUAUGUAUUUUUUUUUCCAGUUUACUUGUCAUUGCCAAUUUAUGUUACUGCCAGGGCUCAAACUUCUGUGUGAACAAAGUUUGAGCAGCAUUUUGACUUUACGAAAUGUCGUCACCCUCCUACAAAUUAGCAUUCUCCACAGCGCCCCACAGCUAAAGCAGUUCUGUUUUGCCUUUAUUUGUCAGAAUAUUGCAGAACUUUUAGAUCUCAGGUACUUAGAAGCAUUGGAUAGUGAUAUUUUAAAAGAAUUGACAGAUGUUUAUCAAGAAAGGAACAGGCAUUUGUGCUGGCGGCAUAUUAGUCCAUUUAGAUGUGAUCGGCAAAUUUCUGAGAUCAUAGAAUUUAACAAGAUGUGUCCUCCUUUACCGUGGAAUGUGUUUGAAGAUGAUGAUGUUGUUGAGACAAUAUGCUCUCCAAAAUCAGGAGAAAAGGCGCAAAAAAAACCACUGCCACGGACAAGGAAAUCCAGCGGAUCAGAAUCGAGACAAAGGAAGUCUUCCAGAAGUGAUUCAUUUGGAUCGAAGCAAAAUGACAUGGAGACGCUGUCGAGUAUUAUGAAGUCAAUACGUUUGACUGACCAUUCAGUGGAGACUUUCCUUGGAACGCAAGCAACAGCUGAGGAAAGUGAAGCAAGUUGGAUAAAAAUUGAGAAAGUUCGUCGCGGCUGA
rnacentral:lncRNA from 1 species